CCUACGGGAGGCAGCAGUAGGGAAUCUUCCACAAUGGACGCGAGUCUGAUGGAGCAACGCCGCGUGAGUGACGACGGGUUUAGGCUCGUAAAGCUCUGUUGGUAGUGAAGAAAGAUAGAGGUAGUAACUGGCCUUUAUUUGACGGUAAUUACUUAGAAAGUCACGGCUAACUACGUCCCAGCAGCCGCGGUAAUACGUAGGUGGCAAGAGUUGUCCGGAUUUAUUGGGCGUAAAGCGAGUGCAGGCGGUUAAAUAAGUCUGAUGUUAAAGUCUUCGGCUAAAACGGAGAAUUGCAAUAGAAAGUGUGUAGCUUGAGGACAGUAGAGGAGGGUGGAAUGCGAGGGGGAGCGGUGGAAUGCGUAGAGAUAAGGAAGAACACCGAUGGCGAAGGCGGC
rnacentral:rRNA from 1 species